ACACGGAUCUGAUCUGUUCCAGCUUCAAUCAAUUCCUUUGCAGUUGAUCAUUCAUGAGUCACAUUGUAUUCCAGGCACUGCCAGGCAGUAUUGGGAAGUG